rnacentral:sRNA from 1 species
CGGACAGGGGGGUUCCUGCUGACCGGCAGGGCCUGUCCGACCGGUCGCGCAGAACGCGCGGCCAGUGGUUGUCGCUCGGGGGUGAACGCCG